rnacentral:rRNA from 1 species
AAAAAAUAAAAAUCUAAAGCUUCGGUCUUAUUUCGGCUGUGCGCUCAGGCUGCACGCCGAUAACCUCUCACACCUGUGCACCUUUUCGGUUGCGGUUUCGGCCGCUUCCGCUUUUACAUGCAACCACGAAAAGUCUAGAAUGUGAAGAAAACUAUAAAGUAACAACUUUCAACAACGGAUCUCUUGGCUCUCGCAUCGAUGAAGAACGCAGCGAAAUGCGAUAAGUAAUGUGAAUUGCAGAAUUCAGUGAAUCAUCGAAUCUUUGAACGCACCUUGCGCUCCUUGGUAUUCCAUGGAGCAUGCCUGUUUGAGUGUCACGUAAACCCUCACCCCUGCGAUGUAACAGUCGCCUGCGGUGGACUUGGACCGUGCCGGUAAUCGGCUCGUCUUGAAAUGCAUUAGCUGGCGCUUUUAGAGUGCUGGGCGAACGGUGUGAUAAUUAUCUGCGCCGACUGCCCUGGGCCUCUUCAGCGGCGCUGCUUACAGCCGUCCCUUGUGGACAACUAUUUUAAAGCUUUGGCCUCAAAUCAGGUAGGACUACCCGCUGAACUUAAGCAUAUCAAAA